rnacentral:tRNA from 1 species
GUUUAUAUAGUUUAAAUAAAACCUUACAUUUUCAUUGUAAAAAUAAAAUAACUAAUUUUUAUAAAUU